rnacentral:lncRNA from 1 species
UCAUGUCAUACACAUUACUUUGUAUCCUUACUUCUCACUUAACAAUAUAACCCUGGUAAUCUUCCCGGAUCAAUAAAUCUACGUCUACAUCACCAUCGUGGUUUUUUAGAGUAUGUUUAAACAAUGAUCUAUGAAGAACUGGGCGACAGAUGUGAUUUGUAUUUAUUUGAUUACUAAAGAGGGCGAACAUCUUUUCACAUGUAUUGGCCGUUUUCCUUUCUUUUGUGAAUCGCAGUUCACAAGCUUUGUGUAUAUUUUAAAGGACCCUUCACUUUUUUCCUAUGGACUCGAAAACAUAUCCACUUUAUAUAUUACGGAUAACACAUUAGCAGGCACUUACACAGUUUAUACGCACCAAGCACUGUUCUAAGGACUCGUAACUUUCACUCGUGGGACGCUUACAAUAGUUCCACAAGGCAAGGAUUGUCAUAAUCCCCGUUAUCGGAUAAGCGAUUGGCCCAGCGGGGAAGAGGCAGACCUGGGAUUCAAGUCCUCGCUCUUAACCACUAGACGCUCCAGCUAAUGUUUUGCCUGUUAGAGAUUUCACAAAAUUGUGUUUCCAACUUCCUAACUUUCCGGGCUUCACUUAUCCGGCCAACUCCAUCAGUCCUUCCCCUCGCGGCCUUCGGGGCAGAACGGGGCCCGGGCGGGGCGGGGCGGCGUCUCCCAGCCGCCCGGCAGGCCCACCGGCUCUCGGGCGGGACCGGGACGCGCGCCGUUUGGAGGGUCGCGGCGCCGCAGGGGCCGCGGGGGCAAGUCCCCUCCGUCGCGGCGGCCCGGCGCCCCUGAGCUCGGACACCCCGCGGCGACCCGGCCGCCCCGGCCCCGGGCCCCCGCGCCCCGUCUUCCCCCGGAACUCCGGGUCCCCGGCUCCUCGUCCCCGCGGCCCACAGAACGGCUCCCGGGCGCCGCCCCCGCCCAGAGGACGGCCCCGAGGCCCCGACCGCGCGCUCCCCGGGCGCAGGGCCGUCCUAGCGGGCGUGGGGAGCCACGCUUCAGGCGACUCGAAACCAGGAGGAUUGAGGACUGCUUCGAAAGGCGGCUGCAGACGAAAGCCUCCAAAGCCUCGGGCGGCCGGCCGCCACGGCGGCGUCAUCCGCAGGAGGGGAAACUGAGGCACAGCGGGCCGGCCUUUGUGGGCGCACCGAGGACACGCCCCCAAGCCGGAGCGCGGCACCCGCCGCCCCGCGCGCCCUCGGCGGCCACGUGACGACGCCCGUCCAUCACGCGCGGGAGGCGGGACGCUGCCCCGCCACUCUCGCAGCCGUCCAAUAGGAAGCGGGGAGCAGGCAGGGAGGCGGCCCCGCGAGCCCCUCCCACGUUGGCGCCCCGCGCGGGGCGGGCCCAGCCGCCGCCCUCCAGUGGGGUCCCGGAUCGCCUGGCUCUGCUGAGGCGAAAGGGCAAGGCGCUCGUCAGUCAGGCGGCGCGGCCAAUGGGCUCGCGCGUUGCCCUCGCGCCCGCCCCCGCCUCGGCCUCCCGGCGCCCGCGCCGCCUUCCCUCAGGCCGCCGCGGCCCGCCCGCCCGCGCCUCCAUCUGGGUCCUCGCGCGCGGCUCUCGGGCGGCGGCGGACGGCGGCGGCGGGCGCGAGGACCCCGCUGUCCCCGCGGAAGACGACGGCGGGCGGCAGCCUUCUCCGCGAGCCUGAGGGAACCAGGAUUACCAGGAGAAAGCCUUCCUGUGGUGCUCAGCUGUGGUCCCUUUUCAACGUUCACCCUUGACGUUCUCUUCACUGUGGGAUGAGAUGUGCUCUCCGUUCCAGAAGAAAAGAUUGCUCUGUCGGAGUGAGGUAGUAGAUUGUAUAGUUGUGGGGUAGUGAUUUUACCCUGUUCAGGAGAUAACUAUACAAUCUAUUGCCUUCCCUGAGGAGUGGACUUGCUGCAUUUUGUUUUUAUCUAGAUAGUAUUAAAACUCAGAAGAAUUAAUUUUGACAUUGUUUUGUAUUUACAGUUUGUUUACGCUAAGUGCUAAUUUUCUCUGUUCAAGUAUAGUGUACCUGUAAUAGACACAGUGAUCUAAGUUUUUAAUUUUCACAUAUGGUAUAUGUCAGAAAUCUGAAAUUAAGCAGAAAUCUCCAAGAGUGAAGAAGGUGAUCUUCAGGAAAUCUUAAUGGGGACUGGGCCCUUUUGGAAUUGUGAGUUGGUUUACUGCACUGCCUGCUGCUGCCUGUGUCCGGGGUGAGACCUGGGCGGUAAAGGUAAAUGCAACUGAAAAGACCCUGAGCUAAAACGGCGUCAGGGUGAUUGUGGUUCACGGCCCAGUUUGGGUUUGGGGUGGCCUUGGGCAGUGUGUAACCGCUUCUUCAUUGGUGUGUUGUUUUGGACGGCUUCACUCUCCAGCCUGGAAAAGGAGAGAUGGGCUCUGCGUUCUACCUAUGCUCCCUCGGAUGUCACGAAGACCUCACCUUUGCCCCAAAACCUGAAGUGGUCCUUCAUUCACAAAGGGGCAUCCCCUGAAGCUGACAGAUGGGGAAAUCCAUAGUUUAUUGUUUUAAAGAAAAUAUGAGGAUGAUGCUAGAAAGGCUUACUGGAGUUUUAACACCCAUGAUGGCCCAUGUCUCAGCUUUCUUCCAGUGGCCAAAUCACAUGCUGCCUGGCUCUUAUAAUCAAGCAAGGCGAAAAGCUCCCUGUUUUAAGUGCUUGCAGUUUAUUUUAUUUUGGGAGAAGAAAAAAGGCAAAAUGUGGAGGUGAAGGAGAGGUGACCUCUUCCCAAAUAUUUCCAUUGAUCAUGAAUCUUAAUAUCUAAGAUAACCACAGUGUAUGCUAUUGGCAGUAGGAACUUGGCGUGAGAGAAACAUCAAAUUCUCUCUUGGAUGGGCCCAACCCAGAUGAGUUAUCCUGGGUCAGAUUUUUGCCUUGUUUUAUCCCUGGCAUACAAAUGGACACUUACGUGAUCCAGAAUUGGUCUGUCUUAUAAACUGGACAUGUAAAUAUUGGGGGAAAUAAUCAUUUUUACAUUCAUUGCCUUUUGGUGUGCCAAAGAAAAGUGGGAAUGUUUGAGAAAUUCUUUGGCUUAAUCUUUGUUAAACCGACAAGUUAGAUGACUCUCCUCUUCAUUGUGUGGCCAGUACAGUCGUGGAGUUUUGUGGUUUCCCAAUAUUUCCCUACAUUUUGUAAAAAACACUUGAGUACCUUUAUGUGGAGAAUGUGACAGUCUCUAAAAGCUUGUUUUUGAUGGCAACAUCAAAAAUUGUGGUACCAAUUUGCUUCCAUUUAUUCAUUCAAAGGUCAAAAACUUAAAUACUUGGGUCCAAGAGGAGCUGGCUGUAACUAGGAAACAUCUACAGGGCACAGGCAGUAAGUUAAUUUGUACCAGUUGAUGGUGGCAAGCAGGAUAUUUAUACAUAGUGUCACCUAAUUUUCCAGUUUAUCAAGAGGGAGAUUUUAUGAAAUUUGAUAUUUAAAUUUUCGUGCAAAGUUUAAUGUUUUAAAAAGUCUGUGACUCCAACAGUGUAUCAUGGGCUGGGUAUUAGGCUUCUGGUUUGCAUCCUCUGACAUAAUUGAAUUACUUACUGUUCCUUUGUAACGAGGUUUGAUUUUAAGCAAAUGAAGUUGUGGUUUUUAACCAAGGUCUUAUGGCCAGGAACUUUUUAAAAGCAUCAGUGAAAGAAUUCCAUUUGGUUUGAAUUUGAAAUAAAACCCAAAGAAUAUGGCCUAAUUUAACAGGUUAAUUUGAAGUGCAUCUGCCAAGUAGAAGACCGGCAAGAAAAAAAAUGGGUUCCUAGGAAGAGGUAGUAGGUUGCAUAGUUUUAGGGCAGGGAUUUUGCCCACAAGGAGAUAACUAUACGACCUGCUGCCUUUCUUAGGGCCUGAUUAUUCCACGGUCACCUGUUUCCUUGCUGCCUUGCUUUGGUGUAAGCAGAGUUCCUUCUGCAGGUUUUCUCAUAAAUGAAAACAUUGCAGGAAUACCAAAGGAAGCAAUACUUGCAUUCGUGGUUUAUGAACAGCAGCAUGGUACCAGCGUUGAUUACUAAGUCAUCCGAUGAGAAUUUAAGGCUUCUGAAGUGUACCUAGUUGCUUAUGUGUCUCACUGAGGGUUGCUGGGAGUUUUGGAGAGUAUUGUUUUUUAUUUUUGUCAAGUUCCUUUUUCUGAUCUGGAGACUGCCAGCUCUUUUCCCCUCAGUAGCCUCUGUUAGACCUGAAAGAUGUUUAACAAUACUAUUGAAAUAUUUUGCUGUACAAAAAUAUUUUCCUACACUGUAUUUGUAAAUAUUUAUCUUGCUAAGUUUCUGGGUUUCUUUGUCUUCUGGACUUGAAAUGUGGGUCAGUUCUGGUGGAAUUGCAUAUUGUGGGAAUCCAUCAUUGCAUUGAGCGCCCAUUAUGGUAUGUAACCCUGUGGUUGAAUCUGUUUAAUGUGUAUGAGGCCUAGAAGGUCAACAAAAUGAAAAUGGUUGUAAGGUAGUGGAGUUACUAUAAUUUGCUAACCAUCUUUGCAAUAAAAAUACUACUUGAAAAUUGUGCUUCUUAAAUCAUUCUUAACUUUCAUCUCCAUCCUUGCAGAACUAGGUACAUUUUUUAAGUAUUUAGACUUGUUUUAAGAUCUGUUAAAGUACUCA